AGUCGAGCGAGAAAGCACUUCGGUGUGAGUACAGCGGCGGACGGGUGAGUAACGCGUAGGAAUCUACCCAGUAGUGGGGGACAACUUAGGGAAACUUAAGCUAAUACCGCAUACGCCCUGAGGGGGAAAGCGGGGGAUCUUCGGACCUCGCGCUAUUGGAAGAGCCUGCGUUAGAUUAGCUAGUUGGUGGGGUAAAGGCUCACCAAGGCGACGAUCUAUAGCUGGUCUGAGAGGAUGAUCAGCCACACUGGGACUGAGACACGGCCCAGACUCCUACGGGAGGCAGCAGUGGGGAAUAUUGCGCAAUGGGCGGAAGCCUGACGCAGCCAUGCCGCGUGUGUGAAGAAGGCCCUAGGGUUGUAAAGCACUUUCAAUUGGGAGGAAGGGGUUAAAGUUAAUA
rnacentral:rRNA from 1 species